UUGCAGAUUUAUAAAUCAGGAAAUCAUUUAGGUACUUAAGACUGAUUCUAUGUAACUAUCAAAAUUCAGUGGCCACGGUAUGUCACAGAUUUUGAUGAAACUUUGUGUGUAACAAUAUUAUGAUAGAUAUAAAACAAAAAGGACAUGCAAAGGUUUGACUUAGCAACGGUUGCCAUGGAAACCGAUCCUCUAACAACAGCUGGACAAGAUAUGUACAUGUAUGUUAUACAUGUAUUUUGAAUAAUCAAAAAUUAAACGCUAUUGUUUAUAAAAACAACAAUUGUAAAAAUUAUUUUGAGCUAGGUUUUAGCUUUUAGAAUUUUUUUUGUAUUUAUUUAAUCCUUGAAAACAAUAGAAAUAAUUAUUUUUAUGAUGUAUAAGGGUUUGAUAUAUGUAAUUUUUAGAGAGGGAUAAAAUAUAUUUGCCCAGUCAUUUGGUGUAAACUCACAUGCUAGUAAAAUGUAUUGAAUCUUACUUUUAAAAAGUACAGAAACACAUUUGUGGAGAAACCAAAGAUAAACACAUAAACCAGUAGUUUCCUCUGGUGCACAAACCAAAAUACACCAGAAAGAGUUAUUGCCCUUUGUAACACUCUCUUGUAUUGGAGAUAUGAACAGCCUUCAUUUGUUUUCAGUAUGGCAGGAGGUGGAAAUUUAGUCUCGUGCAACCAGACACUCUGUUUUUUCCAAUACAAAUCCGUUUGAUCUUUGCCAUAGUCACCGGACUCUAGCAUCCAAUCGUCUACGUAUUCGUAGAAAAAGUAAAUGUUGUGGAAUUUAACGCUUUAUUACAUCACAUCCGACUAAAAAAAUGACCAGGGAAACAGAAGGCUGACAGACAUAUUCAUAGAAAGUAUGAAAAAGCCCUGCCUCUUGCCGUGUUGGAACUUGUAUUGACCUGUAUGAGCAUCAUACUGUGCAACUCACCUAAAGAAAGUUGCUGACUUUGAGGAGAACUUGAAGAGCAGAAGAUGCAUUCCAUGACUCUUAUAUGAUAUAGAAGACAAAGAAGAGCUCUUGAGAAUGAAAAAAAAAACCUGCAAGUUUUACAGUCAAUGAACACACCUCACGACACAAGUCCAACCUGAUUCAGUAAACUGGUAGUCUAUUCUCCUAAGGACACACCAUGACUUAGUUUAGAUCAAGUUUUGGUGUCAGAAGACUAAUGUAACUAAAACAUUGCAAAAUUAACCUGCAAGUGUCUUAUGUGAGCCUACUGAAUAAGGAUUCAUUACUGAACAGUUGAAGGAAAAUCACUAUUAUAAUGAUUUUUUCAAAAAGAUGAUUGUGUUGUUUGGAUAACAUUGUUAUCCAUGUUUGUUGAAUAAACAACAUUGCAAAAAUGA